rnacentral:tRNA from 1 species
UCCCUGGCAGUCCAGUGGUUUAAGACUUUGCCUUCCAAUGCAGGAGGUGCAGGUUCAAUUCCUGUUCGGGGAG